GAUGAACGCUGGCGGCGUGCUUAACACAUGCAAGUCGAACGAAGCAUUUAGAACAGAUUACUUCGGUUUGAAGUUCUUUAUGACUGAGUGGCGGACGGGUGAGUAACGCGUGGGUAACCUGCCUUGUACUGGGGGAUAGCAGCUGGAAACGGCUGGUAAUACCGCAUAAGCGCACAAUGUUGCAUGACAUGGUGUGAAAAACUCCGGUGGUAUAAGAUGGACCCGCGUCUGAUUAGCUAGUUGGUGAGAUAACAGCCCACCAAGGCGACGAUCAGUAGCCGACCUGAGAGGGUGGUCGGCCACAUUGGGACUGAGACACGGCCCAGACUCCUACGGGAGGCAGCAGUGGGGAAUAUUGCACAAUGGAGGAAACUCUGAUGCAGCGACGCCGCGUGAGUGAAGAAGUAAUUCGUUAUGUAAAGCUCUAUCAGCAGGGAAGAUAGUGACGGUACCUGACUAAGAAGCUCCGGCUAAAUACGUGCCAGCAGCCGCCGUAA
rnacentral:rRNA from 1 species